GUAGGGAAUCUUCCACAAUGGGCGCAAGCCUGAUGGAGCAACACCGCGUGAGUGAAGAAGGGUUUCGGCUCGUAAAGCUCUGUUGUUAAAGAAGAACACGUAUGAGAGUAACUGUUCAUACGUUGACGGUAUUUAACCAGAAAGUCACGGCUAACUACGUGCCAG
rnacentral:rRNA from 1 species